rnacentral:rRNA from 1 species
UUGACGGAGAGUUUGAUCCUGGCUCAGGACGAACGCUGGCGGCGUGCUUAAUACAUGCAAGUCGAACGAUCCCGGGACUUCGGUCCCAAUGGGAGAGUGGCGAACGGGUGCGUAACACGUGAGAAACCUGUCCCGAAGAUGGGAAUAGCCCAGGGAAACCUGGAUUAAUGCCCAAUACCCUGAGAGCGCCGCAUGGCGCAUUCAGGAAAGGUUCCGGCGCUUUGGGAGGGUCUCGCGGCCUAUCAGCUUGUUGGUGAGGUAAAGGCUCACCAAGGCAUCGACGGGUAGCUGGUCUGAGAGGACGAUCAGCCACACUGGGACUGAGACACGGCCCAGACUCCUACGGGAGGCAGCAGUAGGGAAUCUUGCGCAAUGGGCGAAAGCCUGACGCAGCCACGCCGCGUGAGGGAU